CAAAGAGUAGUUUAAUUUUAGAACACUGGCUUUGGGAGCCAGCGGCGGGAGUUAAAAUCUCCUCUCUUUGA
rnacentral:tRNA from 1 species